rnacentral:rRNA from 1 species
UGCCAGCCGCCGCGGUAAUACGUAGGUGGCAAGCGUUGUCCGGAUUUAUUGGGCGUAAAGCGCGCGCAGGCGGUCCAUUAAGUUGGGUGUUAAAGGCAUCGGCUCAACCGGUGUUCGCACCCAAAACUGGUGAACUUGAGUGCAGAAGAGGAGAGUGGAAUUCCUGGUGUAGCGGUGGAAUGCGUAGAUAUCAGGAGGAACACCAGUGGCGAAGGCGGCUCUCUGGUCUGCAACUGACGCUGAGGCGCGAAAGCGUGGGGAGCAAACAGGAUUAGAUA